rnacentral:rRNA from 1 species
GUUGACGUUACCUACAGAAGAAGCACUGGCUAACUCUGUGCCAGCAGCCGCGGUAAUACAGAGAGUGCAAGCGUUAAUCGGAAUUACUGGGCGUAAAGCGCGCGUAGGUGGAUACUUAAGUCGGAUGUGAAAGCCCUGGGCUUAACCUGGGAAUUGCACCCGAUACUGGGUAUCUCGAGUAUGGUAGAGGGAAGUGGAAUUUCCGGUGUAGCGGUGAAAUGCGUAGAUAUCGGAAAGAACACCAGUGGCGAAGGCGGCUUCCUGGACCAAUACUGACACUGAGGUGCGAAAGCGUGGGGAGCAAACAGGAUUAGAGACCCUGGUAGUCCACGCCGUCAACGAUGAGAACUAGCUGUUGGAGAGUUUACUUUCUAGUAGCGAAGCUAACGCGUUAAGUUCUCCGCCUGGGGAGUACGGCCGCAAGGUUAAAACUCAAAGAAAUUGACGGGGGCCCGCACAAGCGGUGGAGCAUGUGGUUUAAUUCGAUGCAACGCGAAAAACCUUA